rnacentral:rRNA from 1 species
UACGGAGGGUGCGAGCGUUGUUCGGAAUCACUGGGCGUAAAGGGCGUGUAGGCGGUCUGCUAAGUCUGAUGUGAAAGCCCGGGGCUCACCCCCGGAAGGGCAUUGGAAACUGGCGGACUCGAGUCCCGGAGAGGAGGGUGGAAUUCCUGGUGUAGCGGUGAAAUGCGUAGAUAUCAGGAGGAACACCGGUGGCGAAGGCGGCCCUCUGGACGGUGACUGACGCUGAGGUGCGAAAGCGUGGGGAGCAAACAGG